AAAUAGAACAUAAACAAAUUGGUAUUAUUUAAAAAAAUAAAUUGUAGGACAUUGGAUCAAAGGUACCUGGUUAAUCUGCAAAAGACCCAAAAAGGAAAAUAGUUCUCCGAUUUCUGGAGAGGAAAUAAUGACCAAAACUAGAACCCAACUAUUAGAAGAAUCAGCUGAAAAUAUCCAAACGAAACUCUGAAAUGGGAGAUGAAAUUCAGCGACAGUAACAACAGCUCAAUAAAUCAGCCAAACAGAUCCCAAUGGCAACCAAAAAUUGGAAAGAAAAACUAACAGUGCCAAAAACCAAAACCCAGCGACAAAACUCCAACUUAAAACUUCAAUUCAAGAGCCAUUCUUGAAAACUCGGAAUCAAGGAAGAAAGCUGAGAUUUGUAAAAAAAAAAAUUGAUUUUUUUUCCGAAGAUGAACUAAAACAAACAACCUCAGAAUAUGCCUUUGUACAUUUUUCUUUUUUUUAAGAAAUUUGUUGACUGAAAAAAAAACUGAAGAGAAAAGAAGAAACUCAAAACCCUAGAAAUUCUACUACUAAAUUUUUCUGAAGAUUUUUUUUCUUCGUUCUUUCUCCUGAUUAUCCUUCAAAUUUCUCUGACCUUCCAAGAAAAGAAACUUACCUUAUAUAUAACCUCAAAAAUUCUCGAAGCUUCUGCCUCGGAUCCAAAAAAUUCCAUUGUUUGUGAAUGAUUUUAGGGACAAAUGGAAGGCAUAGAUCGAUUUUCAUCCAUCCACGACUCCCAUUCAUCCAGCAAAUUGCUCAAUAGUACAGAAAUCGUACAAAUUUGGAGAGAAUAUUAGUUCUUUCUGACAAAAGACCGUUAGAAUAAAAUGACAUGGAGGGGAAGGGUCCCAUUUGAGUGAACUCGCCUGAGUUUCAGGCGAGUUGGGGGCUAAAAGAAGAAGAUGAACAGUGGGGGGUGCGCCGCAUUCUCUGAUUUGUUAGGGUU
rnacentral:lncRNA from 1 species